CAUGGGAGAAUGAGGAGAGGUUUACGGUAAAAGGGAUGGGGCAUGCGUCUGAUUAGCUAGUUGGCGAGGUAACGGCUCACCAAGGCGACGAUCAGUAGCUGGUCUGAGAGGAUGAUCAGCCACACUGGCACUGAGAUACGGGCCAGACUCCUACGGGAGGCAGCAGUAGGGAAUAUUGGUCAAUGGGCGAAAGCCUGAACCAGCCACGCCGCGUGCAGGAAGAAGGUCCUCUGGAUUGUAAACUGCUUUUGCCAAGGGAUAAAGAGAGGCUAUACGCCUAAAUGAAGGUACUUGGUGAAUAAGCCACGGCUAACUACGUG
rnacentral:rRNA from 1 species